rnacentral:rRNA from 1 species
GACGAACGCUGGCGGCGUGCUUAACACAUGCAAGUCGAGCGGAAAGGCUCCUUCGGGGGUACUCGAGCGGCGAACGGGUGAGUAACACGUGAGUAAUCUGCCCUGGACUCUGGGAUAGCCACCGGAAACGGUGAUUAAUGCCGGAUAUGACCACUAUCCGCAUGGGUUGGUGGUGGAAAGUUUCUUCGGUUCAGGAUGUGCUCGCGGCCUAUCAGCUUGUUGGUGAGGUAAUGGCUCACCAAGGCUUUGACGGGUAGCCGGCCUGAGAGGGUGACCGGUCACACUGGGACUGAGACACGGCCCAGACUCCUACGGGAGGCAGCAGUGGGGAAUAUUGGACAAUGGGCGGAAGCCUGAUCCAGCAACGCCGCGUGAGGGAUGACGGCCUUCGGGUUGUAAACCUCUUUCAGUACCGACGAAGCGAGAGUGACGGUAGGUACAGAAGAAGGACCGGCCAACUACGUGCCAGCAGCCGCCGUAAUAC